rnacentral:siRNA from 1 species
CGGGUUCGGAUAACGUAUGGGUAU